rnacentral:lncRNA from 1 species
UCUAAUGGAUUUAAUCUAAGAGCUCUGGGGGAAAUGGAUUUAUGAUUCCAGGGUCGGCUACUCUAGAGACAAAGAGACAGAGAGAGACAGAGAGGCUUCCAAGAACCCAUGGACCUUAUUGGUAGUGGGAGCAUCAAGAACUGCUGAGGAAGUAUAUCAUUAAAGAUCAAGGAGCAGGCAGCAGGACGUCUGGACCCUCUAUAACAUGUUGGGAAUUAAG